GAGUGGACUUAGUGGCCUCAGUGGCUUUUUGGCAAGAUGAAUACUCUUCACCAAGUCCUGCUUGCUGCAGCUUUGAGUACACUGGCAUGUGAUGUUACAUUUGAAGAGAAUAUCAUUAAUUGUAGGAAGGCAGAGAAGAACACUCUGUAGUUCAUGGUAUCAGUGCAGGUUGACGGGAAGCACAAAUGUGGAGGAUUCCUCAUAGACCGCAGCUUUGUACUCACUGCUGCCCACUGUUACAGGGAAGAAAUGAGUGUGGUCAUUGGAACUCAUUCCAGCAAAAUCCAGCGCAGUACAGAUAUGAAGUGAAGGGCAACCACACACACAAGUUAUACGAGAAUCCUGAGACUGGAUAUGACAUCAUGAUUCUGGAGCUUGUCAAGAAGGUUCAUCUGAGUAACGAUGUGAUGAUAGUCCCGUUCUCAGAGCAGGAUGGAAACGUUGAGGCUCAUCGCAGGUGCCAGGUUGCAGGAUGGGGAAAGACUGAACACAGUCAAAAAGCAGUGAGCGACCUUACGGUGACUGAUGUAUCAGUCAUAAGCUUUAACACCUGUAAAAAUUUAUGGGGACAAGUGGAUAAAAUCCUCCCGCCUGGUGUGAUGUGUGCUGGUGGCAGUGAGGACAGCGGUGUG